GAUAUCGUAGUUGAAAAUGACAACAGUAAAUUGCAGCUUUAAAGGUGUGAAGAAGUUCACUGAUAUCU
rnacentral:tRNA from 1 species